rnacentral:tRNA from 1 species
GGUCAUUUAGCUCAGUUGGUUAGAGCACACCGUUCACAUCGGUGAGGCCACAGGUUCGAAUCCUGUAAUGACCA